GACGAACGCUGGCGGCGUGCUUAACACAUGCAAGUCGAACGGAAAGGCCCUGCUUUUGUGCGGUCCUCGAGUGGCGAACGGGUGAGUAACACGUGAGUAACCUCCCCUUGACUUUGGGAUAACUUCAGGAAACUGGGGCUAUUACCGGAUAUGAGCUCCUUCUGCAUGGUGGUUGUGGGAAAGUUUCGGCGUUGGGGCAUUGACUCGAGACCUAUCAGCUUGUUGGUGGGGUAGUGACUUACCAAGUCAUCGACGGGUAGCCGGCCUGAGAGGGUGACCGGCCACAUUGGCAUUGAGAUGCCGCCCGGACUGCUACGGGAGGCAGCAGCGGGGAUUAUUGCACGAUGGGCGGAAGCCUUAUGCAGCAACGCCGCGUGCGAGAUGACGGCCUUCGGGUUGUAAACCGCUUUCGCCUGUGACGAAGCGUGAGUGACGGUAAUGGGUAAAGAAGCACCGGCUAACUACGUG
rnacentral:rRNA from 1 species